AAUUAAAUUUCAAGGGUUUAACAACAACAUUUUCAUCAUUCCCACUAUUCAAUCAAAUUUCAUGGGUUUAACAUCAUCAUUUUUAUCAUUCCUAGAAUUCAAUCAAAUUUCAUGGGUUUAACAUCAUCAUUUUUAUCAUUCCCACAAUUCAAUCAAAUUUCAUGGGUUUAACAUCAACAUUUUCAUCAUUCCUACCAUUCAAUCGAAUUUCAUGGGUUUAGCAUCAACAUUUUCAUCAUUCCCANNNNNNNNNNAUUCCCACAAUUCAAUCAAAUUUCAUGGGUUAAACAUCACAUUUUCAUCAUUUCCAUAAUUCAAUCAAAUUUCAUAGGUUUAACAAAAACGUUUUCAUCAUUCACACAAUCCAAUCAAAUUUCAUAGGUUUAACAUCAACAUUUUCAUCAUGCACACAAUUCAAUUAAAUUUCAUGGGUUUAACAACAACAUUUUCAUCAUUCACACAAUUCAAUCAAAUUUCGUGGGUUUAACAUCAACAUUUUCGUCAUUCCCGCAAUUCAAUCAAAUUUCAUGGGUUUAACAACAACAUUUUCAUUAUUCACACAAUUCAAUCAAAUUUCAUGGGUUUAACAGAAUCAUUUUCAUCAUUCCCACAAUUCAAUCAAAUUUCAUGGGUUUAACCUCAUAUUUUCAUCAUUCCCACAAUUCAAUCAAAUUUUAUGGGUUUAACAAUAACAUUUUCAUCAUUCACACAAUUCAAUCAAAUUUCAUGGGUUUAACAUCAACAUUUUCAUCAUUCUCGCAAUUCAAUCAAAUUUCAUGGGUUGAACAACAACAUUUUUAUUAUUCACACAAUUCAAUCAAAUUUCAUGGGUAUAACAUCAACAUUGCAUCAUUUCCAUAAUUCAAUCAAAUUUCAUAGGUUUAACAACAACGUAUUCCUCAUUCACACAAUCCAAUAUAAUUUCCUAGGUUUACCAACAUCAUUUUCAUCAUGCACACAAUUCAAUUNNNNNNNNNNNNNNNNNNNNNNNNNNNNNNNNNNNNNNNNNNNNNNNNNNNNNNNNNNNNNNNNNNNNNNNNNNNNNNNNNNNNNNNNNNNNNNNNNNNNNNNNNNNNNNNNNNNNNNNNNNNNNNNNNNNNNNNNNNNNNNNNNNNNNNNNNNNNNNNNNNNNNNNNNNNNNNNNNNNNNNNNNNNNNNNNNNNNNNNNNNNNNNNNNNNNNNNNNNNNNNNNNNNNNNNNNNNNNNNNNNNNNNNNNNNNNNNNNNNNNNNNNNNNNNNNNNNNNNNNNNNNNNNNNNNNNNNNNNNNNNNNNNNNNNNNNNNNNNNNNNNNNNNNNNNNNNNNNNNNNNNNNNNNNNNNNNNNNNNNNNNNNNNNNNNNNNNNNNNNNNNNNNNNNNNNNNNNNNNNNNNNNNNNNNNNNNNNNNNNNNNNNNNNNNNNNNNNNNNNNNNNNNNNNNNNNNNNNNNNNNNNNNNNNNNNNNNNNNNNNNNNNNNNNNNNNNNNNNNNNNNNNNNNNNNNNNNNNNNNNNNNNNNNNNNNNNNNNNNNNNNNNNNNNNNNNNNNNNNNNNNNNNNNNNNNNNNNNNNNNNNNNNNNNNNNNNNNNNNNNNNNNNNNNNNNNNNNNNNNNNNNNNNNNNNNNNNNNNNNNNNNNNNNNNNNNNNNNNNNNNNNNNNNNNNNNNNNNNNNNNNNNNNNNNNNNNNNNNNNNNNNNNNNNNNNNNNNNNNNNNNNNNNNNNNNNNNNNNNNNNNNNNNNNNNNNNNNNNNNNNNNNNNNNNNNNNNNNNGGUUUAACAACAAACAUUUCAUCAUUCCCACAAUUCAAACAAAAUUAUGGGUUAACAUCAUCUUUUCAUUAUUCCCACAAUUCAAUUCAAAUUUCAUGAGUUUAGCAUCCACAUUUCAUCAUUUCCACAAUUCAAUGAAAGUUUCAUAAGUUUAACAACAAUGUUUUCAUCAUUCACACAAUCCAAUCAAAUUUCCUAGGUACCAACAUUUUCAUCAUGCACACAAUUCAAUUAAAUUUCAAGGGUUAACAACACAUUUUUCAUCAUUCCCACUAUUACAAUCAAAUUUCAUGGGUUUAACAUCAUCAUUUUCAUUCAUCCCACAAUUCAAUCAAAUUUCAUGGGUUUAACAUCAUCAUUUUUAUCAUUCCCCACAAUUCAAUCAAAUUUCAUGGGUUUAACAUCAACAUUUUAUCAUUCCUACCAUUCAAUCGAAUUUCAUGGGUUUAAGCAUCAACAUUUUCAUCAUUCCAUAAUUCAAUCAAUUUCAUGGUUUAAACACACGUUUUCAUCAUUCACAUAAUUCAAUCAAAUUUUUCAACAAAAUAAUUCAAUCAAAAUCAAUUAGGUUUAACAUCACACAUUUUCAUCAUGCACACAAUUCAAUAAAUUUCAUGGGUUUAACAACAACAUUUUCAUCAUUCACACAAUUCAAUCAAAUUUCGGUGGGUUUAACAUCAAACAUUCAUCUUCCCACAAUUCAAUCAAAUUUCAUGGGUUUAGCAACAACAUUUUCAUCAUUCACACCAAUUCAAUCAAAUUUCAUGGUUUAACAGAAUCAUUUUCAUCAUUCCCACAAUUCAAUCAAAUUCAGGGUUUUAACCUCACAUUUCAUCAUUCCCACAAUUAAUCAAAUUUUAUGGGUUAACAAUAACAUUUUCUUUUAUUCACACAAUUCAAUCAAAUUUCAUGGGUUUAACAUCAACAUUUUCAUCAUUCCCGCCAAUUUCAAUCAAAUUUCAUGGGUUUAACAACAACAUUUUCAUUAUUCACACAAUUCAAUCAAAUUUUCAUGGGUAUAACAUCAACAUUGCAUCAUUUCCAUAAUUCAAUCAAAUUUCAUAGUUUAACAACAACGUAUUUCCUCAUUCACACAAUCCAAUAUAAUUUUCCUAGGUUUACCAACAUCAUUUUCAUUCAUGCACAACAUUCAAUUUCGAUUUCAAGGGUUUAAAAAACAACAUUUUCAUCAUUUCCCACAAUUCAAUCAAUAUUUCAUGGGUUUUAACAUCAUCUUUUUCAUUAUCCCACAAUUCAAUCAAAUUUCAUGGGUUAACAUCAUCAUUUUUUAUCAUUCCAUAAUUCAAUCAAAUCUUAUGGGUUUAACAAUAAUAUUUUCAUUAUUCACACAUUCACCAAAUUUUCAUGCGGUUUAACAAUAACAAUUUUCAUCAUUCCCACAAUUCAAUCAAAUUUCAUGGGUUUAACCAAACAACAUUUCAUUAUUCACACAAUUUAAUCAAAUUUCAUGGAGUUUAACAUCCACAUUUCAUCAUUUUAACAAAUUCAAUCAAAUUUCAUAAGUUUAAUUACAAUGUUUUCAUCAUCACACAAUUCAACUCAUAUUUCAUUGGUUUAACAACAACAUUUUCAUCAUCCCACCAAUCAAACAAAAUUAUGGGUUUAACAUCAUUUUUUCAUUAUUCCCAACAAUUCAAUCAAUUUCAUGAGUUUAGCAUCCACAUUUUCAUCAUUUCCACAAUCAAUGAAAUUUCAUAAGUUUAACAACAAUGUUUUCAUCAUUCACACAAUCCAAUACAAAAGUUUCCUAGGUUUACCAACAUUUUCAGUCAUGCACACAAUUCAAUUAAAUUUCAAGGGGUUAACAAAACAUUUUCAUCAUUCCCACUAUUCAAUCAAAUUUCAUGGGUUUUAACAUCAUCAUUUUUCAUCAUUCCCACAAUUCAAUCAAAUUUCAUGGGUUUAACAUCGAUCAUUUUUCGAUUCCCAACAAGUUCAAUCAAAUUUCAUGGUUUAAACAACCAUUUUCAUCAUUCCUACCAUUCAUCAAUUUCAUGGGGUUUAGCAUCAACUAUUUUCAUCCAUCCACAAUUCCAUCAGAAUUUCAUGGUUAAACAUCACAUUUUCAUCAUUUCCAUAAUUCAUCAAAUUUCAUAGGUUUAACAAAAACCUUUUCAUCAUUUCACACAAAUCCAAUCAAAUUCAUAGGUUUAACAUACAUUUUUCAUCAUGGCAUCAUUCCCACAAUUCAAUCAAAUUUCAUGGGUUUAACAACAACAUUUUCAUUAUUCACACAAUUUAAUCAAAUUUCAUGAGUUUAGCAUCCACAUUUCAUCAUUUUAACAAUUCAAUCAAAUUUCAUGGGUUUAACAGAAUCAUUUUCAUCAUUCCCACAAUUCAAUCAAAUUUCAUGGGUUUAACCUCACAUUUUCAUAAUUCCCACAAUUCAAUCAAAUUUCAUGGGUUUAAUAUCAUCAUUUUUAUCAUUCCCACAAUUCAAUCAAAUUUCAUGGGUUUAACAUCAACAUUUUCAUCAUUCCCGCAAUUCAAUCAAAUUUCAUGGGUUUAACAACAACAUUUUCAUUAUUCACACAAUUCAAUCAAAUUUCAUGGGUAUACCAUCAACAUUGCAUCAUUUCCAUAAUUCAAUCAAAUUUCAUAGGUUUAACAACAACGUAUUCCUCAUUCACACAAUCCAAUAUAAUUUCCUAGGUUUACCAACAUCAUUUUCAUCAUGCACACAAUUCAAUUCGAUUUCAAGGGUUUAAAAANGGUUUAACAACAACUAUUUUCAUCAUUCCCACAAUAUCAAACAAAAUUACAUGGUUUUAACAUCAUCUUUUUUCAUUAUUCCCACAAUUCAAUUUCAAAUGUUCCUGAGUUUAGCAUCCACAUUUCAUUCAUUUCCACAAUUUCAAUAAAUUUUCAUUAAGUGUUUAACAACAAUGUUUUGCAUCAUUCACACAAAUCCAAUCAAAUUUCCUAGGUUCACCAACAUUUUCAUCGGCCACACAAUUCAAUUAAAUUUUUCAAGGGUUAACAACAACAUUUUUCAUCAUUCCCACUAUUCAAUCAAAUUUCAUGGGUUUAACCAUCAUCAUUUUUCGAUUCAUCCCACAAUUCAAUCAAAUUUCAUGGGGUUUAACCAUCAUCAUUUUUAUCAUUCCCCACAAUUCAAUCAAAUUUCAUGGUUAACAUCACAUUUUGAUCAUUCCUACCAUUCAAUCGAAUUUCCAUGGUUUAAGCAGCAACAUUUUCAUCAUUCCAUAUUCAAUUCAAAUUUCAUAGGUUUACAAAACGUUUUCAUCAUUCACAAAUCAAUCAAAUUUUUCAACAUGAAAUAAUAAAUAAAAUAAUUAGGUUUAAAUCAACAUUUUCAUCAUGCACCCACAAUUCAAAUAAAUUUCAUGGGUUUAACAACAACAUUUCAGGCAUUCACACAAUUCAAUCAAAUUUCGUGUGGGGUUUAACAUCAAACAUCAUCUUCCACAAUUCAAUCAAUUCAUGGGUUUAGCAACAACAUUUUCAUCAUUCACACCAAUUCAAUCAAAUUUUCAUGGUUUAACAGAAUCAUUUGUCAUCAUUCCCACAAUUCAAUCAAAUUCAGGGUUUUAACCUCACAUCUUCAUUUUCAUUCCCACAAUUCAAUCAACAUUUAUGAUAUCCCGAUUUAAAGCGAAAUAACACUUUUCUUUAUUCACACAAUUCAAUCAAAUUUCAUGGGGUUAACAUCAACAUUUUCAUCAUUCCCGCAACUUUCAAUCACAAUUUCAUGGGUUUAACAACAACAUUUCAUUUUCACACCAGAUUCAAUCAAAUUUCAUGGGUAUAACUCAACAUUGCAUCAUUUCCAUAAUUCAGAUCAAAAUGUUCAUAGGUUUAACGACAACGUAUUUCCUCAUUCACCAUCAACUAAUUUAGUUAAUUUUCUAGGUUUACCAACAUCAUUUUCAUCUUGCACAACAAUUCCAAAUUCGAUUCAAGCGGUUUAAAAAACAACUUUUCAUCAUUCCCACAUUCAAUUCAAAUUUCAUGGGUUUAACAUCAUCUUUUUCAUUAUGUCCCCACAAUUCAAUCACAAUUCAGGUUAACAUCAUCAUUUUAUCAUCCCAUACAUUCAAUCAAAUCUUAUUGGGGUUAACAAUAAUAUUUUCAUUAUUCAACAAUUCACCAAUUUUCAUGCGGUUUACAAUAACAAUUUUCAUCAUUCCCACAUUCAAUCAAAUUUCAUGGCGUUAACAACAACAUUUCAUUAUUCACACAAUUUAAUCAAAUUUCAUGAGUUUAACAUCCACAUUCAUCAUUUUAACAAAUUCAAUCAAAUUUCAUAGUUAAUAACACAAUGUUUUCAUCAUUCGACAGCAAUUCAACUCUAUUUCAUUGGUUUAACAACAAAUUUCAUCAUCCACAAAAUCAAACAAAAUCAUGGGUUUAAACAUCAUUUUUCAUUAUCCCACAAUUCAAUCAAUUCAUUGAGUUUAACAUCCACAUUUUCAUCAUUUCCACAAUCAAUGAAAUUCUAAGUUGUACACAAUGUAUUUCAUCAUUCACACAAUCCGAAUCAAAUAUUUCCCUAGUACGUUACCAUCUUUCAUCGUGCACAAAUUUCAAUUAAAUUUCAAGGGGUUGAACAAAACAAAUUUUUCAUCAUUCCCACUAUUCAAUCAAAUUUAAAUGGGUUUUAACAUCAUCAUUUUUCAUCAUUCCCACAAUUCAAUCAAAUUUCAUGGGUUUAACAUCAUCAUUUUUAUCAUUCCCAACAAGUUCAAUCAAAUUUCAUGGGUUUAAAUCAACCAUUUUCAUCAUUCCUACCAUUCAAUCGAAUUGCAUGGGUUAGCAUCAACAUUUUCAUCAUCCCACAAUUCCAAUCAAAUUUCAUGGUUAAACAUCACAUUUUCAUUCAUUUCCAUAAUUCAAUCAAAUUUCAUACGGUUUAACAAAAACUUUUCAUCAUUUCACACAAAUCCAAUCAAAUUCAUAGGUUUAACAUACAUUUUUCAUCAUGGCACACAAUUCAAUUAAUUUCAUGGUUUAACAACAACAUUUUCAUCAUUCACACAAAUUUCAAAUCCAUUUUAAAUUCGUCGGUUUAACAUCAACAUUUUCCAUCAUCCCACAAUUCAUCAAAUUUCAUGGGUUAUCAACAAACAUUUUCAUCAUUCCACACAAUUCAAUCAAAUUCAUGGUUUAACAGAAUCAUUUUCAUCAUUCCCACAUUCAAUCAAAAUUUCAGGGGUUUUAACCUCACAUCUUCAUCAUUCCCACAAUUCAAUCAAAUUGAUGGGGUUUAACAAUAACAUUUUCUUCUAUUCACACAAUUCAAUCAAAUUUCAUGGUUUAACAUCAAUAUUUUCAUCAUUCCGCAAUUCAAUCAAAUUUCAUGGGUUUAACAACAACAUUCAUUAUCACACAAUUCAAUCAAAUUUCAUGGGUAUAAACAUCAACAUUGGCAUCAUUUUCCAUAAUCAAUCAAAGUUCAUAGGUUUACAACAACGUAUUCCUCAUUCACACAAUCCAAUAUAAUUCCUAGGUUUACCAACAUCAUUUUCAUUCAUUGCCACACAAUUCAAUUCGAUUUCAAGGGUGUAAAAACAACAUUUUCAUCAUUCCCACAAUUCAAGUCAAAAUUCAGCGGUUUAACAUCAUCUUUUUCAUUUAUUCCCACAAUUCAAUCAAAUUUCAUGGGUAACAUAUCAUUUUUUUCAUUCCCAUAAUUCAUCAAAUCUUAUGGGUUUAACAAUAAUAUUUUCAUUAUUCACACAAUUCACUCAAAUUUUCAUGGGUUAACAAUAACAUUUUCAUCAUUCCCACAUUCCAAUCAAAUUCAUGGGUUUAACAACAACUUUUCAUUAUUCACACAAUUUAAUCAAAUUUCAUGGAGUUUAACAGUUCACAUUGGCAUCAUUUAAACAAUCAAAAUCAAAUUUCAUAAGUUUAAUAACAAUUUUUCAUCAUUCACACAAUUCACUCAUAUUUCAUUGUUUAACAACAACAUUUUUUCAUCAUUCCCCAAAAAAAUCAAACAAAAUUCAUGGGUUAAAACAUCAUCUUUUUCAUUAUUCCCACAAUCAAUCAAAUUUCAUGAGUAGCAUCCACAUUCAUCAUUUCCACAUUCAAUGAAAUUUCAUAAGUUAACAACAAUGUUUUCAUCAUUCACCACAAUCCAAUUCAAAAUUUCCUAGGUUACCAACAUUUUCAUCAUGCACACAAUUCAAUUAAAUUUCAAGGGCUUGAAACAAACAACAUUUUCAUCAUUCCCACUAUUCACAUCAAAUUUCAUGGGUUUAACAUCAUCAUUUUCAUCAUUCCACAAUUCAAUCAAAUUUCAGGGUUUAACAUCAUCAUUUUUAUCGAUUCCCACAAUUCAAUCAAAUUCAUGGGUUUAACAUCAACAUUUUGAUCAUUCCUACCAUUUUCAAUCCGAAUUCAUGGGUUUAGCAUUUCAACAUGUUUCAUCACUUUCCAUAAUUCAUCAAAUUCAUAGGUUUAACAAAAACGUUUCAUCAUUCACACCAAUCCAAUCAAAUCAUAGGUUUAACAUCACAUUUUGAUCAUGCACACAAUUCAAUUAAAUUUCAUGCGGUUUAACAACAACAUUUUCAUCAUUCACACAAGUUCAAUCAAAUUUUCGUGGGAUUAACAUCAACAUUGCAUCAUUCCCACAAUUCAAUCAAAUUUCAUGGGUUUAGCAACAACUUUUCAUCAUUCACACAAUUCAAUCAAAUUUCAUGGGUUUAACAGAUCAUUUUUCAUCAUUCCACAAUUCAAUCAAAUUUCAGGGGUUUAACCUCACAUCUUCAUCAUUCCCACAUUCAAUCAAAUUUGAUGGUUAACAAUUACAUUUUCUUUAUUUCACACAAUUCAAUCAAAUUUCAUGGGUUUAACAUCAAUAAUUUUCAUCAUUCCCGCAUUCAAUCAAAUUUCAUGGGUUUAACAACAACAUUCAUUUAAUUUCACACAAUUCAAUCAAAUUUCAGGGUAUAACAUCAACAUUGCAUCAUUUUCCAUAAUUCAAUCAAAGUUCAUAGGUUAACAACAACGUAUUCCUCAUUCACACAAUCCAUGAUAAUUUCCUAGUUUACCAACAUCAUUUUCAUCAUGCACACAAUUCAAGUUCGAUUUCAAGGGUUUAAAAAACAAACAUUUCAUUCAUUCCCACAAUUCCAAUCAAAUUUCAUGGGUUUAACAAUCAUCUUUUUCAUUAUUUUCCCACAAUUCAAUCAAAUUUCAUGGGUUUAACAUCAUCAUUUUAUCAUUCCCAGUAAUUCAAUCAAAUCUAUGGUUUAACCAACUAAUAUUUUCAUUGUCACACAAUUCACUCAAAAUUUCCAUGGGUUUAACAAUAACAUUUUUCAUUUUCCAUUCCACAAUUCAAUCAAAUUUCAUGGGUUUUAACAAACAACAUUUUCAUUGAUUCACACAAUUUAAUCAAUUUCAUUGAGUUUUAACAUCCACAUUUCAUCAUUUUAACAAUUCAAUCAAUUCAUAAGUUAAUAACAAUGUUCAUCAUUCACACAAUUCACUCAUAUUUCAUUGGUUUAACAACAACAUUUUCAUCAUUCCCACAAAUCAAAACAAAAUUCAUGGGGUUUAACAAUCAUCUUUUUCAUUAUUUCCACAAUUCAAUCAAAUUCAUGAGCUUUAGCAUCCACAUUUCAUCAUUCCACAAUUCAAUGAAAUUUCAUAAUUUAACAACCAAUGUUUUCAUCAUUCCACACAAUGCCAAUCAAAUUUCCUAGGUUUACCAAAUUUCAUCAUGCACACCAAUUCAAUUAAAUUCAAGGGUUGAACAACAACAUUUUUAUCAUUCCCACUAUCAAUCAAUUUCAUAAGGGUUAACAUCAUCAUUUUCAUCUUCCCACAAUUCAAUCAAAUUUCAUGGGUUUAACAGCAUCAUUUCUUAUCUCCCACAAUUCAAUCAAAUUCAUGGGUAACAUCAACAUUUCUCAUUUCCUACCAUUCAAUCGGAAUUUUCAUGUUUAGCAUCAACAUUUUCAUCAUUCUCCCACAAUUCAAUCAAAUUUGCAUGCUGUUAAACAUCACAUUUCAUCAUUUCCAUAAUUCAAUCAAUUGCAUGGGUUUAACAGAAUCAUGUUUCAUCAUUCCCACAAUUAAUCAAAUUUCAGGGGUUUAAACCUACAUCUUCAGCAUUCCCACAAUGUCAAUCAAAUUAUGGGUUUAACAAUAACAUUUUCGUUGUAUUCACACAAUUCAAUCAAAAUUUCAUGGGUAACAAUCAAUAUUUGUCAUCAUUCCCGCCAAUUCAUCAAAUUUCAUGGGUGAACAACAACAUUUUCAUUAUUUCACACAUUCAAUCAAAUUUCAUGGGUAUAACAUCAACAAUUUGCAUCAUUCCUAAUUCAAUCAAAUUCAUAGGUUUAACAACAAACGUAUUCCCUCAUUCACACAAUCCAAUAUAAUUUCCUAGUUUACCAACAUCAUUUUCAUCAUGCACACAAUUUCAAUGUUCGAUUAUUCAAGGUUUAAACAACAUUUUCAUCAUUCCCACAAUUCAAUCAAAUUUCAUGGGUUUAACAUCAUUCUUUUCAUUAUUCCCACAAUUCAAUCAAAAUUUCAUUGGCUCAUGGGUUUAACAUCAUCAUUUUUAUCAUUCCCAUAAUUCAAUCAAAUCUUAUGGGUUUAACAAUAAUAUUUUCAUUAUUCACACAAUUCACUCAAAUUUCAUGGGUUUAACAAUAACAUUUUCAUUAUUCACACAAUUUAAUCAAAUUUCAUGAGUUUAACAUCCACAUUUCAUCAUUUUAACAAUUCAAUCAAAUUUCAUAAGAUUUAUAACAAUGUUUUCAUCAUUCACAUAAUUCACUCAUAUUUCAUUGGUUUAACAACAACAUUUUCAUCAUUCCCACUAUUCAAACAAAAUUAAUGGGUUUAACAUCAUCUUUUUCAUUAUUCCCACAAUUCAAUCAAAUUUCAUGAGUUUAGCAUCCACAUUUCAUCAUUUCCACAAUUCAAUCAAAUUUCAUAAGUGUAACAACAAUGUUUUCAUCAUUCACACAAUCCAAUCAAAUUUCCUAGGUUUACCAACAUUUUCAUCGUGCACACAAUUCAAUUAAAUUUUAAGGGAUUAACAACAACAUUUUCAUCAUUCCCACUAUUCCAUCAAAUUUCGUGGGUUUAACAUCAUCAUUUUCAUCAUUCCCACAAUUCAAUCAAAUUUCAUGGGUUUAACAUCAUCAUUUUUAUCAUUCCCACAAUUCAAUCAAAUUUCAUGGGUUUAACAUCAACAUUUUCAUCAUUCCNNNNNNNNNNNNNNNNNNNNNNCAUUAACAAGCAACAUUUUCAUCGAUUCCCACUAUUCAAUCAAAUUUCAUGGGUGAACCGAAGUUUUAACAUCAUCAUUUUCAUCAUUUCCACAAUUGCAAUCAAAUUUCAUGGUUAACAUCAUCAUUUUAUCAUUCCACAAUUCAAUCAAAUUUCAUGGUUUAAACAUCAACAUUUCAUCAUUCCUACGCAUUCAAUCGAAUUUCAUGGGUUUAGCAUUCAACGUUUUCAUCAUUCCCACAAUUCAAUCAAAUUUCAUGGAAGUUCUAAACAUCGAGCAUUUCAUCUGGGGGAGGUGUGGGUCCAUGAGAGGUGCAAGGGUGCGGAAGAGGUGCGAGUAGGGAUUUAACCAAAAGUUUUUCAUGCGGAGGGUGCGACGCGGCCCCGCGGAAAAAAAGUUCCCCCAAAAUUUUUCAAGAUAUUCACUAGGGGUUGAGACGAGUGCAAAUUUUCAGGUGCGAGUGGCGAGCUAGGCGAGAGUUCAGGAGGGUAAGUUGUGCGGAUGUGGGUGGGGGGUGUGUGUGGAACGGUGGUGGUAGUACGAGAGGGCGGAGGUUCCGGAGUCGAUUCACACAAUUCAGGAGGUCAAAGUGGUCGUGGGUUCUAACAUCAACAUUUUUCUCCAUUCCCCACAAAAUUCAAUCAACAUUUCAUGGGGUUUAGCAACAACAUUUUCAUCAUUUCACACAAUUCAAUCAAAUUUCCAUGGUUAACAGAAUCAUUUUCAUCAUUUCCCACAAUUCAAUCAAAUUUUAUGGGUUUUAAUAAUAACAUUGGGUCUUUAUUCACACAAUUCAAUCAAAUUUCAUGGGUUUUUAACACAACUUUCAAUCAUUCCGCAAUUCAAUCAAAUUCAUGGGUUUAAACAACAACAUUUUCAUUAAUUCACACAAGUUCAAUCAAAUUUCAUGGGAUUAACAUCAAACAUUGCAUCUUUCCAUAAUUCAAUUCAAAUUUCAUAGGUUUAAACAACAACGUAUUCCUCAUUCACACAUCAAUAUAAUUUCCUAGGUUUUACCAACAUCAUUUUCAUCAUGCACACAAUUCAUCGUAUUUGGUCAAGGGUUUUUUAAAAAACAACAUUUUCAUUCAUUCCCACAAUUCAAUCAAAUUGUUCAUGGGUUUAACAUCAUCUUUUUCAUGAUUUCCCACAAUUCAAUCAAAUUCAUUGGGUUUAAACAUCAUCAUUUUUAUCAUUCCCAUAUCAAUUCAAAUCUUAUGGGUUUAACAAUAAUAUUUUCAUAUAUUCACACAAUUCACUCAAAUUUCAUGGUUUAACAAUAACAGUUUCAUCAUUCCACAAUUCAAUCAAAAUUCCUAUGGGUUUAACAACACAUUUUCAUUAAUUCACACAAUUUAAGCAAUUUUCAUGAGUUUAACAUCCACAUUUCCAUCAUUUUAACAAUUCAAUCAAGAUUUCAUAAGUUUAAUAACAAUGUUUUUCAUCAUUCACACAAUUUCACUUCAUAUUCAUUGUUUAACAACAACAUUUUAGUUCGAUUCCACAAAUUCAAACCAAAAUUAAUGGGUUUUUUAACAUCAUCUUUUUCAUUAUUCCCCACAAUGUCAAUCAAAUUUUCAUGAAGUUGGCAUCCACAUUUCAUCAUUUCCAAAUUCAAUGAAAUUUCAUAAGUUUAAACAACAAUGUUUUCAUCAUUCACAAAUCCAAUCAAAUUUCCUAGGUUUACCAACAUUUUCAUCGGCACACAAUUCAAUUUAAAUUUUAAGGUUCAACAAACACAUUGUUCAUCAUUCCCACUAUUCAAUCAAAUUCAUGGGUUUAAACAUCAUCAUUUGUUCAUCAUUCCCACAAUUCAAUCAAAUUCAUGGGUUUUAACCAUCAUCGAUUUUUCAUCCCACAAUUCAAUCAAAUUUCAUGGCGUUUUAACAUCACAUUUGUCUCAUUCCUACCAUUCAAUCGAAUUGUCAUGGGCAGUUUAGCAUAACAAUUUUUCACUUCAUUCCCACAAUUCAACAAAUUUCAUGGCGGUUAAACAUUCACAUUUUUCAUCAUUUCCUACAAUCAAAUUCAUAGUAUACAAAUUACAUCCAUCAUCAAUUUAGGAACAUAAUUUCAUCUCCACAAUUCAAAAAUCAGGUUUUACAAAACAUUACAUUCACACAAUUACAAUCAAUUUCGUAGGAAUCUUUCAGCAAUUUCAAUUAAAUGUCAGAUUUAAACAACCAAAUUUUCAUCAUUCCACAAAUUUCAAUCAAAUUUGUGGGCUUUGCAAACAUACAUUUUCAUCAUUCACACAAUUCAAUCAAAUUUCAGGGUUUAAGCCAAUCAUUUCAUCAUUUCACACAAUUCAAUUGCAAAUUUCAUGGGUUUAACAGAAUCAUUUUCAUUCUUCCCACAAUUCAAUCAAAUUUUAUGGCGUUUUAACAAUAACAUUUUUCUUUAUUCCAACCAAUUCAAUUCAAUUCAUGGGUUUAACAGCAACAUUUUCAUCAUUCCCACAUUCAAUCAAAUUUCAUGGGUUAACAUCACUUUUUCAUUAUUCCCACAAUUCAAUCAUAUAUAUAUAUUUAACUCAUCAUUUUUAUCAUUCCCAUAAUUUCAUCAAAUUCUUAUGGGUUUUAACGAAUAAUAUUUUCAUUUUUCACACAAUUCACUCAAAUUUCAUGGGUUUAACAAUAACAUUUUCAUUCAUUCCCACAAUUCAAACAAACAAAUUAAUGGGGUUUAACAUCGAUCUUUUUCAUUAUUCCCACAAUUCAAUCAAAUGUCAUGAGUUAGAUCACAUUUCAAUCAUUUCCACAAUUCAAAUUGAAAUUUCAUACAGGUUUAACAACAAUGUUUUCAUCAUUCACACAAAUCCAAUUCAAAUUUCCUAGGUACCAACAUUUUCAUCAUGCCACACAAUUCAAUUAAAUUUCAAGGGUUGAACAACACAUUUUUCAAUCAUUCCCACUUAUUCAAUCAAAUUUCAUGGCUUUAACAUCAUUCAUGUUUAUUCUUCCCACAUUCAAUCACAAUUUCAUGGGGUUAACAUCAACAUUUUUCAUCAUUCCCACCAUUGCAAUCGAAUUUCAUGGUUUAAGGCAUUCAACAUUUUGAUCAUUCCUACACAUCAAAUCGAAAUUUCCAUGGUUUAAGCAGCAUUACAUUUCAUCAUUCCAUAAUUCAAUUCAAAUUUCAUAGGUAACAAAAACGUUUUUCACUCAUUCACAAAUACAAUCAAAUUUAGUUUAACAUGAACAUCAUAUACAAUAAAUAAAUUUAUGGUUUAAUAACAUUUUCAUCAUGCAACAUUUCAAAAUUUCAGGUUAACACACAUAAUUACAAUCAAUCAAAUUUCGUGGGGUUAAUUCUUCAUUCAUAACAUGUUCAACAACAUUUCAUCAUUCCACCAAUUCAAUUCAAAAUUUCAUGGUUUAAGCAAACAGUUUCAUCAUUCCACACAAUUCAAUCAAAUUUCAUGGGUUUAACGAUCACAUUUUCAUCAUUCCACAAUGUCAAUCAAAUUUUUAUGGGUUUAACAAUAACAUUUCUUUUAUUCACACAAUUCAAUCAAAUUUCAGGGGUUUAACAUCAACAUUUUCAUCAUUCCAAAUGCAAUCAAAUUUCAUGGAGUUAACAUCAUCUUUUUUCAUUAUUCCCACAUUCAAUCAAAUUUCAUGGGUUUAACAUCAUUCAUUUUUAUCAUUCCAUAAUUCAAUCAAAUCUUAUGGAGUUAACAAUAAUAUUUCAUUAUUCACACAAAUUCACUCAAAUUUCAUGGGUUUAACAAUAACAUGUUCAUCAUUCCCACAAUUUCAAUCAAAUUUCAUGGUUUAACAACACAUUUUCAUUAUUCACACAAUUAAUCAAAUUUCAUGAGUUUAACAUCCACAUUUCAUCAUUCUAACAUUCAAUAAAUUCAAAGUUUAAAACGAAGUUUCAUCUAUCUCACACAAUUCACUCAUAUUUCAGUUGUAACAACAACACUUUUCAUCAUUCCCGACAAUUCAAACAAAAUCAAGGGUUAACAUUCAUCUUUUUCAUUAUUCCCACAAUGUCAUCAAAUUUCAUGAGUUUUUUAAGACAUUAUCAUUUCCCAAUCAAAAUUUCAUAGUUACAGUUUCUCUUCACACAUCUCAAUUAGUUAAUACAUGCACAUUCAUAAGGGGUUAACACAACUUUAUCUCCUACAACAGAUCAUGUUAACUCAUCAUCAUAUUCACAUUCAAUCAAUUAGGAACAUAUCAUUUUAUCAUUUCCAAAUUCAUCAAGGUAACGAGAAAUUCAUUAUUCCUACCACAAUGAUUUCAUGUACAUCACGUUUAUCCAAUCACAAUAGGUCAUCCAUCAUUAAUUCACAAAUAUAGUUUUACAACUUGCAUUACAAUCAAUCAAUCAUAUUUACAAACACAUUCAUGUCACACAUUAUUCAAUCAAAUUUCAUGGUUUAACUACAAUCAUUAGCAUUCAUUCACAAUUCAAUCAAAAUUUCAUGGUUUAACAUCAACAUUUUAUUCAUUUCCCACAUGUCAAUCAAAAUUUCAUGGCUGUAUAACAUCAUUCAACAUUCAUUCAAUCAUCUUACCAUUAUACCCAUUUCAAUCAAUUUCAUGGUUUAACCAUCACAUUUCAUCAUUUCCCACAUUCAAUCAAAUUUAUGGGUUAACAAACACCAUUCUUCAUCAUCCAUUUCAAAUCAAGUUUUCAUGCAGGUUUAACAUAAACGUUUCAUCGAUUCCCACCAAUCAAUCAAAUUUCUCAUCGGUUUCCAACAUUUCAUACUUCGAAAAUUCAAUCAACGAUUCAUGGCACACAUCAUCAUUUCCAUAAUCUCAAAAUCAUGGUUUAACAAACAACAUUCUUCAUCAUUCACACAAUCAAUCAAAUUCCGUGGGUUUACGCAUCAACAUUUUCAUCAUUCACACAUCAAUCAAUUUGGUCGAGGUUUCAACAAAACAUUUUCAUCAUUCACACAAUUCAAUCAAAUUUCAUUAGGGUUUACAUAUCUUUUUCAUUUCCCACAAUUCAAAUCAAAUUUCAUGGGUUUAACCAUCAUCAUUUUCAUCAUUCCCACAAUUUCAAUCAAUUUUAUGGGUUAACAAUAACAUUUUCUUAUUUCAUACAAUUCAAUUCCAAAUUUCUGCGUUUAACAUCAACAUUUUCAUCAUUUCUCGCAAUUCAAUCAAAUUUCAUGCGGUUUAACAACAAACAUUUUCAUUAUUUCACACCAAUUCAAUCAAUUUUCAUGGGGAUCUAUAACAUCAAACAUUGCAUCAUUUCCAUAAUUCAAUCAAAUUUCAUAGGUUAACAACAACGUAUUCCUCUUUCACACAAUCCAUAUAAUUUCCUAGGUUUACCAAACAUCAUUUUCAUCAUGCACACAAAUUCAAUUCGAUUUCAAGGGUUUUAAAAACAACAUUUUCAUCAUUCCCACAAUUCCAAUCAAAUUUUCAUGGUGUUUUAACAUCAUCUUUUUCAAUAUUUCCCACAAUUCAAUCCAAAUCUUCUGGGUUUAACAUCAUAUUUUUAUCAUUCCAUAUUUCAAUCAAAUCUUUAUGGGUUUAACAAUAAUGAUUUUCAUUAUUCCACAAUUCACUCAAAUUUUUUUUAUGGUGUUUAACAUAACAUUUUCAGUCAUUCCCACAAAUCUAAUCAAAAUUUCAUGGGUUUAAACACAAACAUUUUUCAUUAUUCAUACCAAUGUUAAUUCAAAAUUUCAUGAAUUUAACAUCCACAUUUCAUUCAGUUAACAAUUCAAUCAAAUUUCAUAAGUUUUUAAUAACAAUGUUUUCGUCUUCACACAAUUCACCUUCAUUAUUUCAUUGGUUUAACAACAACAUUUUAUCAUUUCCCACAGAUUCAAACAAAUUAAUGGCUCAUGGGUUUAACAUCAACAUUUCAUCGUUUUCACAAUUCAAUCAAAUUUCAUAGGUUUAACAACAACGUUUUCAUCAUUCACACAACUCAAUCAAAUUUCAAAGGUUUAACAACAAUAUUUUCAUCUUUCACACAAUUCAAUCAAAUUUCAUGGGUUUAAUAACAACAUUUUCAUCAUUCUCAUAAUUCGAUCAACUUUCAUGGGUUUAACAUCAACAUUUUCAUUAUUCCCACAAUUCAAUCAAAUUUCAUGGGUUUAACAUCAUCAUUUUCAUCAUUCCAACAAUUCAAUCUAAUUUCAUGGGUUUAACAUCAACAUUUUCAUCAUUCUCACAAUUCAAUCAAUUUCAUGGGUUUAACAAUAACAUUUUCAUGAUUCACAUUGUACAAUCAAAUAUCAUGGGUUUAAAAUCAAGAUUUACAUCAUUCCCACAAUUAAAUUAAAUUUCAGUGGUUUAACAAUAACAUUUUCAUCAUUCAUACAAUUCAAUCAAAUUUAAUGGGUUUAACAACAAUUUUUUUAUCAUUCACAUAAUUCAAUCAAAUUUCAUGGUUUUAACAACAAUAUUUUCAUUUAUUCCCAUAAUUCAAUCAAAUUUCAUGGGUUUAACCUCAUAUUUACAUCAAGGUUUAACAUCAUCAUUUUCAUCAUUCCCACAAUUCAAUCUAAUUACAUGGGUUUAACAUCAACAUUUUCAUCAUUCCCACAAUUCAAUCAAUUUCAUGGUUUAACAAUAACAUUUUCAUGAUUCACGUUGUUCAAUCAAAUAUCAUGGGUUUAAAAUCAAGAUUUACACCAUUCCCACAAUUAAAUCAAAUUUCAGUGGUUUAACAACAACAUUUUCAUCAUUCACACAAUUCAAUCAAAUUUUAAGGGUUUAACAACAAUUUUUUUUAUCAUUCACAUAAUUCAAUCAAAUUUCAUGGUUUUAACAACAAUAUUUUCAUUUAUUCCCAUAAUCCAAUCAAAUUUCAUGGGUUUAACCUCAUAUUUACAUCAUUCCCACAAUUCAAUCAAAUCUUAUGGGUUUAACAACAACAUUUUCAUCAUUCACAUAAUUCAAUCAAAUUUCAUGGGUUUAACAUCAACAUUUAUAUCAUUUCAACAAUUCAAUCAAAUUUCAUAAGUUUAACAACAAUGUUUUCAUCAUUCACACAAUCCAAUCAAAUUUCCUAGGUUUACCAACAUUUUCAUCAUGCACACAAUUCAAUUAAAUUUCAAGGGUUUAACAACAACAUUUUCAUCAUUCCCACUAUUCAAUCAAAUUUCAUGGGUUUAACAUCAUCAUUUUCAUCAUUCCCACAAUUCAAUAAAAUUUCAUGGGUUUAACAUCAUCAUUUUUAUCAUUCUCACAAUUCAAUCAAAUUUCAUGGGUUUAACAUCAACAUUUUCAUCAUUCCUACCAUUCAAUCGAAUUUCAUGGGUUUAGCAUCAACAUUUUCACCAUUCCCACAAUUCAAUCAAAUUUCAUGGGUUAAACAUCACAUUUUCAUCAUUUCCAUAAUUCAAUCAAAUUUCAUAGAUUUAACAAAAACGUUUUCGUCAUUCACACAAUCCAAUCAAAUUUCGUAGGUUUAACAACAACAUUUUCAUCAUGCACACAAUUCAAUUAAAUUUCAUGGGUUUAACAACAACAUUUUCAUCAUACAAUCAAUUCAAUCAAAUUUCAUGGGUUUAACAUCAACAUUUUCAUCAUGGCCACCAUUCAAUCAAAUUUCAUGGGUUUACACAACAUUUUCAUCAUUCACACAAUUCAAUCAAAUUUCAUGGUUUAACAGAAUCAUUUUCAUCAUUCCCACAAUUCAAUCAAUUUCAUGGGUUUAACUCACAUUCAUCAUUCCCACAAUUCAAUCAAAUUUAUGGUUUAACAUAACAUUUCUUUAUUCACACAAUUCAAUCAAAUUUCAUGGGUUUAACUCAAUAUUUCUAUCAUUUCCGCAAUUCAAUCAAAUUUCAUGGUUUAACAAAACAUUUUCAUUAUUCACACAAUCAAUCAAUUUCAUGGUAUACAUCAACAUUCAUCAUUUCAUAAUUCAAUCAAAUUUCAUAGGUUUAACAACAACGUAUUCCUCAUUCACACAAUCCAAUAUAAUUUCCUAGGUUUACCAACAUCAUUUUCAUCAUGCACACAAUUCAAUUCAUUCAAGGGUUUAAAACACAUUUUCAUCAUUCCCACAAUUCAAUCAAAUUUCAUGGGUUUAACAUCAUCUUUUCAUUUCACAAUUCAAUCAAAUUUCAUGGGUUUAACAUCAUCAUUUUAUCAUUCCAUAAUUCAAUCAAAUCUUAUGGUUUAACAAUAAUAUUUUCAUUAUUCACACAUUCACUCAAAUUUCAUGGGUUUAACAAUAACAUUUUCAUCAUUCCCACAAUUCAAUCAAUUUCAUGGGUUUAACAACAAUUUUCAUUAUUCACACAAUUAAUCAAAUUUCAUGAGUUUAACAUCACAUUUCAUCAUUUUUAACAAUUCAAUCAAAUUUCAUAGUUUAAAACCAAUGUUUUCAUCAUUCACACAAUUCACUCAUAUUUCAUGGUUUAAAACACAUUUUCAUCAUUCCACAAAUCAACAAAAUUCAUGGUUUAACAUCACUUUUCAUUAUUCCACAAUUCAAUCAAAUUUCAUGAGUUUACAUCACAUUUCAUCAUUUCCACAAUCAAUAAAUUUCAUAGUUUAACAACAAUGUUUUCAUCAUUCACACAAUCAAUCAAAUUUCUAGUUUACUCAACAUUUCAUCAUGCACACAAUUCAAUUAAAUUUCAAGGGUAACAAACAACAUUUUCAUCAUUCCCAACUAUCAAUCAAAUUUCAUGGGUUAACAUCAUCAUUUUCAUCAUUCCCACAAUUCAAUCAAAUUUCAUGGGUUAACAUCACAUUUUUAUCAUUCACACAAUUCAAUCAAAUUUCAUGGGUUUAACAUCAACAUUUUCAUCAUUCCACACAUUCAAUCAUUUCAUGGGUUUACAUCAACAUUUCAUCAUUCCCACAAUUCAAUCAAAUUUCAUGGGUUAAACAUCACAUUUUCAUCAUUCCAAAUUCAAUCAAAUUUCAUGGGUUUAACAGAAUCAUUUUCAUCAUUCCCACAAUUCAAUCAAAUUUCAUGGGUUUAACCUCACAUUUCAUCAUUCCACAAUUCAAUCAAAUUUAUGGGUUUAACAAUAACAUUUUCUUUAUUCACACAAUUCAAUCAAAUUUCAUGGGUUUAACAUCAACAUUUUCAUCAUUCCCCAAUUCAAUCAAAUUUCAUGGGUUUAACAACAACAUUUUCAUUAUUCACACAAUUCAAUCAAAUUUCAUGGGUAUAACAUCAACAUUCAUCAUUUCCAUAAUUCAAUCAAAUUUCAUAGGUUUAACAACAACGUAUUCUCUCAUUCACACAAUCCAAUAUAAUUUCCUAGGUUUACCAACAUAUUUUCAUCAUGCACACAAUUCAAUUCAUUUCAGGGUUUAAAAACAACAUUUUCAUCAUUCCACAAUUCAAUCAAAUUUCAUGGGUUUAACAUCAUCUUUUUCAUUAUUCCCACAAUUCAAUCAAAUUUCAUGGGUUUAACAUCAUCAUUUUAUAUUCCCAUAAUUCAAUCAAAUCUUAUGGGUUUAACAAUAAUAUUUUCAUUAUUCACACAAUUCACUCAAAUUUCAUGGGUUUAACAAUAACAUUUUCAUCAUUCCCACAAUUCAAUCAAAUUUCAUGGGUUUAACAACAACAUUUUCAUUAUUCACACAAUUUAAUCAAAUUUCAUGAGUUUAACAUCCACAUUUCAUCAUUUUAACAAUUCAAUCAAAUUUCAUAAGUUUAAAACAAUGUUUUCAUCAUCACACAAUUCAACUCAUAUUUUCAUUGGUUUAACAACAACAUUUUCAUCAUUCCCACAAAUCAAACAAAUUCAUGGGUUUAACAUCAUCUUUUUCAUUAUUCCUACAAUUCAAUCAAACUACUUUUUUUUUUUCUUGUUCUUUUGUUUUUUUAUAUUCUUCUCCUUUCAGCUUUUUUUUUCUUUUUCUUUUUUCAAUUUUUUUCUUUGCUCUGCAUUUCUUAUUUUUUUUUAUAUUUUCCUUUUAUUUCCUUGUUUUUUGUUUUUUUUUUUCUUUUUUUUUUUUUUUUUUCUUUUUUUUUUUUUUUUUUUUUUUUUUAUUCUUUAUUUCAUGGAGUUUAGCAUCCACAUUCAUUCAUGUCCACAAUUCAAUGAAAUUUCAUAAGUUUAACAACAUGUUUUCUAUUCACCAAAUCCAAUCAAAUUUCUAGCGUUACCAAACAUUGUCAUCAUGCCACACAAUUCAAUUAAAAUUUCAAGGGUUGAACAAAACAUUUCAUCAUUCACUAUUCCAAUCAAAUUUCAGUGGGUUUAACAUCAUCAUUUUCCAUCAUUCCACAAUUCAAUCAAUUGCAUGGGUUUUAACAUCAUCAUUUUAUCAUUCCACCAAUUCCAAUCAAAUUUCAUGGGUUGUAACAUCAACAUGUUUCAUCAUUCCUACCAUUCAAUCGAAUUUCAUGGGUUUAGCAUCAACAUUUUCAUCAAUCCCACAAUUCAAUCAAAUUUCAUGGGUUAAACAUCACAUUUUCAUCAUUUCGAUAAUUCAAUCAAAUUUCAUAGGUUUAACAAAAACGUUUUCAUCAUUCAAACAAUCCAAUCAAAUUUCAUAGGUUUAACAACAACAUUUUCAUCAUGCACACAAUUCAAUUAAAUUUCAUGGGUUUAAAAACAACAUUUUCAUCAUUCACACAAUUCAAUCAAAUUCCGUGGGUUUAACAUCAACAUUUUCAUCAUUCCCCCAAUUCAAUCAAAUUUCAUGGGUUUAGCAACAACAUUUUCAUCAUUCACACAAUUCAAUCAAAUUUCAUGGGUUUAGCAAAAUCAUUUUCAUCAUUCCCACAAUUCAAUAAAAUUUCAAGGGUUUAACCUCACAUUUUCAUCAUUCCCACAAUUCAAUCAAAUUU
rnacentral:lncRNA from 1 species